rnacentral:rRNA from 1 species
AGACGUCUACAUUAGAUACCCCGGUAGUCCCAGCCGUAAACUAUGCGCGUUAGGUGUAUCGGUGACCACGAGUCACCGAGGUGCCGAAGGGAAACCGUGAAACGUGCCGCCUGGGAAGUACGGUCGCAAGGCUGAAACUUAAAGGAAUUGGCGGGGAGCACCACAACGGGUGGAGCCUUGCGGUUUAAUUGGACUCAACGCCGGGAAGCUCACCGGAUAAGACAGCGGAAUGAUUGCCGGGCUGAAGACUCUGCAUGACUAGCUG